GAUCCUGGCUCAGGACGAACGCUGGCGGCGUGCCUAACACAUGCAAGUCGAACGGAGAAUUUUAUUUCGGUAGAAUUCUUAGUGGCGAACGGGUGAGUAACGCGUAGGCAACCUACCCUUUAGACGGGGACAACAUUCCGAAAGGAGUGCUAAUACCGGAUGUGAUCAUCGUGCCGCAUGGCAGGAUGAAGAAAGAUGGCCUCUACAAAGUAAGCUAUCGCUAAAGGAUGGGCCUGCGU
rnacentral:rRNA from 1 species